rnacentral:lncRNA from 1 species
CUCAAACAGUAUGUCUGUAUAUAAGGAUGCAAGUCAGCUGCUGCCUUGGGCACAUCGUUUCUAUGGUUGGAAGCGUAGUGUACUAAUGCUUGGAAUGCUGCUGCACCAUCAGCAGCAGGCUUAAGUUCAACAGGCAACAUGGGCUUCUUCCUUUCCUAGUGAUUAGACGGCCGGGCUGAAUGCGUGGCACCUGGCUGACAAUGGAUUAAGCAGCAAGAGAGACACACACACAGAGCGAGCCCUUCAGCGAAGAUACUGCACCGUCUGCAUCCCUGACGCUUUAUCAGCCACCAGCACUCAACUGCUCUGCGCAGCAGCAGCGUUUCCUCCUUACCACUGGAUCUCUGUAAUGGAGGGGAGCAGCAGCCAGAUGGUACAUUACUAGUUAGAUCCUUUCUAGUCUGGUAGCUCCCCCCCCAUCGCGCACCUCUCACUUGCUUGAGAAGUUGCCUGUUCUCUCCUGAUGUGAAUCACCUCCGAUUAGAGGGGACCGCGGCUCUGUAGUUAGGAAUUGCCAGCUCGCAAAAGUUUCUAGGCAGGAAGCUGGCUCCACGCAACUGGGGUGGAGGAGGAGGAGGAGGAGGAAAAAAAAAGUUUCGCUCACUUCUCUCCUUGGCGGAGCCCCUCCCCGCUCCGAGGGGAGAGCUAGAGAUGCUGCUACUUGCAACAGGCUGCUAUAGUAGCAGCGGCAGCCCGAGUAACACGUCCCCAGGAGACUAGCAGGAGCAACACGUGAUGUGUCUACUUAUCAGGGGAGAAGCGGACGAAGGGAAGUUACUGUGGAGUUGAUGAACUUUGCACAUCCACAGAAACGCCAUUUUGAUUCCAUUUUCCGGAACAACUUUGCGUCUCUUUCCCCCCCCCUUCACCAACCCAUCAUCAGCGCAUCAUGUCUCGACGCAAACAGCCCAGCCCCAGCAAAAGCAAGCUGCAGAAAUCUGAUGAUAGUACAUCUUGGAUGCAAACCAGUCAUUAGCAUUUCCCACCUUAAAAGUUCUUUCAGCUCCACCCUGGCCAUCAAUUGGUUUCAUAUAGCAACCCUUUAAGGUAGGACAUACAUGAUUUG